UACGGAGGGUGCAAGCGUUGUCCGGAUUUAUUGGGUUUAAAGGGUGCGUAGGCGGCUUAUUAAGUCAGGGGUGAAAGACUGCAGCUCAACUGUAGCAGUGCCUUUGAUACUGAUGAGCUUGAGUACAGAUGAGGCUGGCGGAAUGGGUGGUGUAGCGGUGAAAUGCAUAGAUACCAUCCAGAACACCGAUUGCGAAGGCAGCCGGCUAAACUGUAACUGACGCUGAGGCACGAAAGCGUGGGGAUCGAGCAGG
rnacentral:rRNA from 1 species